rnacentral:rRNA from 1 species
GGGGGGGGGGGGGGGGGGGGGGGGGGGGGGGGGGGCGGGGGGGGGGGUGGGGGGGAGUGGGGGGGGGGUGAGUAAGAGGUGGGAGCGUGCCUUUAGGUUCGGAAUAACCCAGGGAAACUUGUGCUACUCACGAAGGUGCCCUUAGGGGGGACGAUUUAUCGCCCUUAGAGCGGCCCGCGUCUGAUUAGCUAGUUGGUUGCGGUAAUGGCUCACCAAGGCGACGGUCAGUAGCUGGUCUGAGAGGAUGAUCAGCCACAUUGGGACUGAGACACGGCCCAAACUCCUACGGGAGGCAGCAGUGGGGAAUCUUGCGCAAUGGGCGAAAGCCUGACGCAGCCAUGCCGCGUGAAUGAUGAAGGUCUUAGGAUUGUAAAAUUCUUUCACCGGGGACGAUAAUGACGGUACCCGGAGAAGAAGCCCCGGCUAACUUCGUG